rnacentral:rRNA from 1 species
GAUGAACGCUGGCGGCGUGCCUAAUACAUGCAAGUCGAGCGAACAGAUGAGGAGCUUGCUCCUCUGACGUUAGCGGCGGACGGGUGAGUAACACGUGGAUAACCUACCUAUAAGACUGGGAUAACUUCGGGAAACCGGAGCUAAUACCGGAUAAUAUAUUGAACCGCAUGGUUCAAUAGUGAAAGACGGUUUUGCUGUCACUUAUAGAUGGAUCCGCGCCGCAUUAGCUAGUUGGUAAGGUAACGGCUUACCAAGGCAACGAUGCGUAGCCGACCUGAGAGGGUGAUCGGCCACACUGGAACUGAGACACGGUCCAGACUCCUACGGGAGGCAGCAGUAGGGAAUCUUCCGCAAUGGGCGAAAGCCUGACGGAGCAACGCCGCGUGAGUGAUGAAGGUCUUCGGAUCGUAAACCUCUGUUAUUAGGGAAGAACAAAUGUGUAAGUAACUAUGCACGUAUUGACGGUACCUAAUCAGAAAGCCACGGCUAACUACGUG